rfam:Danio rerio chromosome 9 genomic contig CTG875, GRCz11 reference primary assembly.
GCCGGCAGCUAGCUCUCAAAUGGUCGCCCACUGAAGCUAGGCAGGGCUGCGCCCGGUCAGUACCUGGAUAGGAGACCACAUGGGAAAGCUAGGUUGCUGCCGGAA